rnacentral:rRNA from 1 species
UACGGGGGGGGCAAGCGUUGUUCGGAAUUACUGGGCGUAAAGGGCUCGUAGGCGGCCAACUAAGUCAGACGUGAAAUCCCUCGGCUUAACCGGGGAACUGCGUCUGAUACUGGAUGGCUUGAGUUUGGGAGAGGGAUGCGGAAUUCCAGGUGUAGCGGUGAAAUGCGUAGAUAUCUGGAGGAACACCGGUGGCGAAGGCGGCAUCCUGGACCAACACUGACGCUGAAUGAGCGAAAGCCAGGGGAGCAAACGGG